rnacentral:tRNA from 1 species
AGAUAAGUAGUGUAAAUAGCACUUUUGAUUUUCAUUCAACCGGUAUGCAGAGGUAUCUAUCUG